GGCGCGCUGGCCUAGCGGUUUCAGCGCGUCUUGGGUGGCUGUGCACCAUCCGCAGAGGUCGAGGGUUCGAAUCCCUUGCUUGACA